rnacentral:lncRNA from 12 species
GGAGCUCCUGCGGGACACAGAUGGGGAGACACUUAGGAUGACAGUCAUGGUACUCAGCUCUAUAGUGUAUCACAACAACAUGCUGAUAGCCAGCCCCAUCACCCUGCAUCUGGUGGAGGCGCUCCUGCCACUCUUUGACCACGAUAAUAGCCAGGUGCAGGAGGUGUCCAUAUUGCUCUAUGAAACACUGAUGACUCUUGCAUUGGAAAAAGGUAAAAAGGCCCUGAAGACACAGGUGCGGCAGAGCCUGCUCCCACUCUUCAUCCACUGCCAUGACGAGAAUCCAGAUGUGGCAGAGGCCUCUCAGCAAGCGCUGCAUAGUGCGGCCAAGUUCCUGAAGAGGAGGGAUCUUGAAAAUCUGGUGAAGAAGGAACAGCUGUGGCAGUUCGCCGAGUGCCUGGUAAGGACGGCCUGGAAGCGCCAGGCUGAGGCUGGAGCAGCCCCCUGAGCGCGGCGCUCACCGUGUGCGCUUGGCAGCUGUGGCCCUGCCCAGCGCUGCACGCAGGGGCCGCACGGGCUCUUCUCCCGGCUCCUGCGGCCCCGAGCCGGCUGCCCACGGAGCCCCGGCCCAGCGGGGCUGCGGGCCGGGCCGGCACCGCGGCUCCUCGGGCACAGCCGGCCCUGUGCCCUGCAGAGCCCGGGCCAGCGGCUGGGGCCCCCCCCCCCCCCCCCC